rnacentral:rRNA from 1 species
AUACGGAAGGUCCGGGCGUUAUCCGGAUUUAUUGGGUUUAAAGGGAGCGCAGGCGGAGAUGCAAGCGUGACGUCAAAUUUCGGGGCUCAACCCCGUCUCGCGUCGCGAACUGCGUCCCUUGGUUGCGGGAAGGGGAGGCGGAACUCGUGGUGUAGCGGUGAAAUGCAUAGAUAUCACGAAGAACUCCGAUCGCGAAGGCAGCCUUCCGGCCCGUCAACGACGCUCAUGCUCGAAGGUGCGGGUAUCAAACAGGAUUAGAUACCCUGGUAGUCCGCGCAGUAAACGAUGGACACCCGCGGUUUGGCCUGUAUGGCUGAGCCGCCAAGCGAAAGCGUUAAGUGUCCCACCUGGGGAGUACGCCGGCAACGGUGAAACUCAAAGGAAUUGGCGGGG